GAUGAACGCUGGCGGCGUGCCUAAUACAUGCAAGUCGAGCGAACGGACGAGAAGCUUGCUUCUCUGAUGUUAGCGGCGGACGGGUGAGUAACACGUGGAUAACCUACCUAUAAGGCUGGGAUAACUUCGGGAAACCGGAGCUAAUACCGGAUAAUAUUUUGAACCGCAUGGUUCAAAAGUGAAAGACGGUCUUGCUGUCACUUAUAGAUGGAUCCGCGCUGCAUUAGCUAGUUGGUAAGGUAACGGCUUACCAAGGCAACGAUGCAUAGCCGACCUGAGAGGGCGAUCGGCCACACUGGAACUGAGACACGGUCCAGACUCCUACGGGAGGCAGCAGUAGGGAAUCUUCCGCAAUGGGCGAAAGCCUGACGGAGCAACGCCGCGUGAGUGAUGAAGGUCUUCGGAUCGUAAAACUCUGUUAUUAGGGAAGAACAUAUGUGUAAGUAACUGUGCACAUCUUGACGGUACCUAAUCAGAAAGCCACGGCUAACUACGUG
rnacentral:rRNA from 1 species